UGGCGGGAUCAUCCCGGGGUCGCCGGCGCGUCGCCGCGCAUCAGUUCGCUGGAGAUUGAAUGCGCCGUUCUAGUAGGGGGUGGCUCGUAGGCCCUCCCGGGGAAAGGGGAACGUCGACCGGCACCCGCUGGUGCGUCUCUGCCUGCGGGAACCCAGUGUGGCGCCGCGGGGGAAAGGGAGAGGGUGCCCCGCUCCUAGAGGCCGGCCCGGGACGUGCGGGGAGGCCGGGGUAAGGUGCCCGGGGCCCGGCCGCGGCUCCUCGUGGGGUCCGGUGGUCGGAGGCGCCUCCGCCGAAGUUCUCCCAAGUCCCAAACGAUAGACGUGGAUGCACCGGCCGCGCCCCGGGGGCCGGGGAGGGCGGACCCCGGCUGCACUUGUGCUUGCGUGGUUUCUUGCGCUCGAUUUUUCGGAAUCCUGCUCCGGAGGCGAGGAGCGUCACGGAACGUGCAGAGUGGCGGGGAUAAGGUGCUCAGGGUCUGGCCGCGGUUCCCCACGGGGCCCGGCGGUCGGAGAUGCCUCCCGGAAGUUUCUUUCAAGCCCCGGGCUUCUGUCCCGGACGGGCAGCUGCGCGUGGGGACAGACGGGAGGACGUAGCCGGCCCGCGGCGGCCCCCGCGCGUUCCGAGCGCCUCACAGACACGACCGACCGUUGAGUUGGCCAGGUGGCCCCAGGAGCUCCGGGGUUGCAGCGAUGGGAUCGUGUUGGGGGGCCAGUAGUUGAACCCAGGAGGCCCCCGUGAUCCGUAGAGUCCUUACCCGGACCCGUAAUUUUUUCACUCGAAGGCUAGUAUUUUUUUUUUUAUUUUAAUUAUUUUAAUUUUAUUUACUUUUGCUGCCAGGAAAGGGCUGGUAUGGUUUCCAAAGCCCGUGCUUUGAAGUGGGAGUGCGGAAUAGCUCAGAAGGUUGCUUUGUGGACGGUAACGCAAUUUCCUUCGCUUGGAACCCUGGGUCUCUGCGGCAGUAACCGCGCAUGCGCGAGCCCCGACCUCGAGGCUGCUUCAAUCCUCAGGCGCUUAAGGGCGUCCUCUGGCCCGUGUGACCCCCGCCGCAGGGACCAGGCAGCGGCCGAGGCCGGAGGCCCAAAGCAGGCCCGGAGGUGUUGUCCGUGCAGGCUCCCCUUGGAGCUCCUCGAUUCGAACUCCGUGGUGAGCCCGCUCUCCCGCGCUGGGCUCGGCUCCAACCAGACGCAAGACGGAUGUUCCGGUGCGGGGAGCUGCUCCUCCCCCUCCACUAGCUCCUUCCCUGCAGGGGGGUGCGCGGUGUGCAGGCAGGGAUGCGGAACCCGCCUGGCCUCGCCCUGCUCCACGGCUCCGUUUGGGCCGGGGCCGCUGGCCCCGCGGACACUCUUUCCUUCUCCGCGGCUUCGUAAGCGGUUCUCCCCACAGUGGAGAGGCCGUCCCUCCGCGCUGUGCGCCCCCGGAUCACUCGAGGUCAGCCCCCAAGUGCGGGUUCGCCUUGGCCCCUGAGCGUCCGUCCACCCCAGUGCGCCCGAGGAGCCGGGGUGGAGUUGGGGAGUCGAGUGGGGGAGGGAGGCGCGCCCGACAGCGACGGUGGGGGUUCGAACCUGUGAUGCAUCGCAUUGGUGCGUCCCGGAGCAGCGCAGACUCCCAGGCCGACCAGUGGCUGCUCAAGGAGCCUUGUGCUUCCCUUCAUCUCCAAGCCCCUGCCCGCAUGUCCGGGCAUCUCUGCAACCCCGGCGGGCCAGGAUUUGGGGGAACGAACUUCUGCGAUCAAGGCUCUCCCCCGACGGCCCUGCCGCCGCUCAUUUCUCGAGCGGAGUAGCCCUUGCGAGGCGUCCCAGCGCCUCCCCUCGGCGUGGAGCCCCCUGGUCUCUCCGUGGGGCCGAGCACCGCUUCCCGCGUCGUGAGCCGUGCGAUAGCCUCCGAGGCAGGGGCGGGUCCGACAGCGGUCCGGCGAUGGGCGCGGGCACGCGUGCGGGGCUCUUUUCCGAGACUUAGGAGCCCGUCUCCAGCACCCCGAGCCCCCUGUGGGUGCCUCUCGGCAGCUCACAAAUCCUCAGAUCAUAACCGGAGCUGAAGUUUGGACGCUUAAGCGACUGAGCGACCCAGGCGCGCCCCAAUCCUCCUUGACACCUCCGACGAACUUUCGGCCGUGGAAGCAGGUGCCUCAGAGGGUGCUCGCCAGGGGCUCCCUGGGACCCGCUGUUCUGCCGCUUUGUGCACCCCGCACUCCUGUUGGCGGAUGGUCGUGCCACAGGGUGGUGGUCCUCCGGGCAAGCGCAGACAUGGUGCCUCCUCCCGCGCGCCCAGCUUCCCGCGCCCACUCGAGGAACCCAUCUGCUGGGAAACCAAAGAUUUUGGCCGUGUUUUUGCUCUGGGAGUCGGGAGGCAAGAAGGCGGUGGGAGUGGCAAGCCGAGCGGCCGCUUAAAGGAAUGAAAAACAACGCCAAGAAAUCUGUUCAAAGCCUGGUGCCAUUUCCAUGAAAACUAAGCCUCGGAGAAGGCAGCGAACCCCUCGUCUCUGAGCGGUUUAAUUUGGCGUCUGGCUGUAAGCUGUAACUUGCCCAGUUGCAGACCGAGGAAGGGUUCCAUUCCUUCGGAUAGAAGUGGUGAAGGGCCAACCCCAGAGGGGACCCAGAUUACCAGGUGCGAUCAGAGGGUAAACGCUGUGAAGCAAGGGCGGAUCGAGGAGCAAGGAGAAAGAGGUCUCGCUGCGAAGACCCAGGUUUUGCUGCUGAUCUUCAGAACGCAUUGGAAUGUGAAUGUUUUAAAGACCUUGUUAGGCCUAAAAACACUGGGAGGUGGUGGCAGCUGUUCUAACGGCCCCUGGAAGGUGUGUGCUCAUUCCUUGACCCGACGAGAGGUGUCCUUCUAGAAGUUGUAGGAAGGAGGAGGGGGAGAUUACUGCCAUAUAAGGAAGUUCUAUUUGAUGACCGGAGACAAAGAUCCUCUACAGAGGCCUUGUUGCUGCCUUUUGAAGGUAAGUACAGAAGUGAUCUUCGGUCAAGGAGCAGGAAAGGAGGCAGGUCUUGGGGGGAAAGGUAGAGGAUGAGCAUUCAACCCCAAAACCUGUGUCCGGGCCUGUGCCCCCAUAGGGAGGGAGGGAUGUGUAGAUUUACCCUUAUGUGAACAGACUGUUGUGACCUUUGGAAUCAUUAAGACCAGUUUAAUGGUGGUCUUAUACCACCACAAGUCUGCAGUAACUGUUUUCAGCAGCUUCUAGGUAGAGAAGUAAUACAAUUUAUACUUGUUUUGGUGAUGGAAUAAUGAAAUGCAUGUUUUUGUUUUCUUUAGGUUUGCUUAUUUAUUUUGAGGGAGAGCAUGAGUUGGGGGGAGGGGGCAGAGAGAAAAAAAUCCCAAGGCUCUGUGCUGUCAGCCCAGGGCUGACUGUGGGGGCUUGAACUCACAAACCCUGAGACCGUGUGACCUGAGCUGAAAUCAAGAGCCUGAACCACCUACGUGGGCCCCAUGAAAUGCAUUUUGAAAAAUAUUAUUCCAAUUUUAAGAAUUCAGUGACAUUGAUAGGAUGUCCCUCAGGAUCCAUCUAUGUAAGUUGGCUGUGGGUGGAGGUGGGGUGGAUAGAAAAGACCCCAGAAGAAAACA